GGAGGGCGCAAGCGUUGUUCGGAAUCACUGGGCGUAAAGCGCGUGCAGGCGGCUUGGUAAGUCGGGUGUGAAAUCCCGGAGCUCAACUCCGGAACUGCACCCGAUACUGCCUCGCUAGAGUCCCGGAGAGGAUGGCGGAAUUUCCGGUGUAGAGGUGAAAUUCGUAGAUAUCGGAAGGAACACCAGCGGCGAAGGCGGCCAUCUGGACGGUGACUGACGCUCAGACGCGAAAGCGCGGGGAGCAAACAGGAUUAGAUACCCUGGUAGUCCGCGCUGUAAACGUUGGGUGCUAGGCGUCGUGGGUAUUGACCCCCGCGGUGCCGAAGCUAACGCAUUAAGCACCCCGCCUGGGGAGUACGGUCGCAAGACUAAA
rnacentral:rRNA from 1 species